rnacentral:tRNA from 1 species
GGGCUUGUGGCUCAGCAGCAGAGCACUUGCCUAGCAUGUUAGAAGCCCUGGGUUCGAUCCUCAGCACCA